rfam:Felis catus isolate Cinnamon breed Abyssinian chromosome B1, whole genome shotgun sequence.
GCCUGAGUGGCUCAGUAGGUUGAGCGUCUGACUUCGGCUCAGAUCAUGAUCUCAUGGCUUGUGAGUUCAAGCCCCAUAUCAGGCC